UACGAAGGGGGCUAGCGUUGCUCGGAAUCACUGGGCGUAAAGCGCACGUAGGCGGCUUUUUAAGUCAGGGGUGAAAUCCUGGAGCUCAACUCCAGAACUGCCUUUGAUACUGAGAGCUUGAGUUCGGGAGAGGUGAGUGGAACUGCGAGUGUAGAGGUGAAAUUCGUAGAUAUUCGCAAGAACACCAGUGGCGAAGGCGGCUCACUGGCCCGAUACUGACGCUGAGGUGCGAAAGCGUGGGGAGCAAACAGGG
rnacentral:rRNA from 1 species